rnacentral:lncRNA from 1 species
AAUUGCCACCUCAAACUGACAAACUGAAGAAGACAGACAGAUAACAAUUAUUGUGGUGCCAUGGCCAUAUAGACAAACCAGGUGGUUUUAGGAUUUUCAAAGCCUAGAAUCAUGACAACUGACGAUGAACCAUUAAAGUUAUGAGCCUUCGCAAAUCAUUGCUACAGAAUAUGCGCAGCAUUCUGUGGAUUGGAGAGAUGUAGCCUCGCUUCGCUUGCCUCUUUCUCCCGAGGACAGUAAUCAGUCAUAAAAACAGCUCUCCUCCUUCAUAUCAAGCCAACAGCUGGAAACUCUUCUGCAAUGUCAAAUUUAGCACGCACCCCUUACUAGGCACUGAACUUAGUCUUGUGGGUUUGCACUACAGUCUUAAAUGAGUAUUCCCGGGCCAUAGUUUAUCCUUUAUUUUUGCAUAACAUUCUCAUUGACUUUGGUGCAACUCUAUAAAGGAAGCAAGGAUUGAAUAUCAUCCUUUAAUGCCAAAUUUACUACAGCUGGACAAAAGGAGCGGAAAUCUGGGAGGCUCAUGUCAAUAAACAAAAGAUAAAUGUUUAGGAGACUUAAUAACUGAAAGGAGCUCA